UGAGCCGGAGAUACACAUCCUCGACCUUCAUUGUGAUGAUCAAUUUUUAGUGAUUGCUUCUGAUGGGGUUUGGGAUGUUUUAACGGAUAGUGAAGUUGUAGAACUUGUGCAACUCAGUGAAAGGAAAGAAUCGGCUACUCGCAUAGUAAGAGUGGCUUACGAUAAAGGAAGUUUUGAUAAUAUAACUGCCGUAGUUAUCUAUUUUCCUUGGAAAAAUAAUAA